rnacentral:rRNA from 1 species
AUUGAACGCUGGCGGUAUGCUUAACACAUGCAAGUCGAACGGUAACAGCAUCUAGCUUGCUAGAUGGCUGACGAGUGGCGGACGGGUGAGUAACGCGUAGGGAUCUGUCUAAAUGCCUGGGACAACACGGGGAAACUCGUGCUAAUACCGGAUGAGUUCUACGGAAGAAAGGUGGGGUUUACCCUGUCGCAUUUAGGUGAACCUGCGUUAGAUUAGCUUGUUGGUGGGGUAAAGGCCUACCAAGGCUACGAUCUAUAGCUGUUCUGAGAGGAAGAUCAGCCACACUGGGACUGAGACACGGCCCAGACUCCUACGGGAGGCAGCAGUGGGGAAUAUUGGACAAUGGGGGCAACCCUGAUCCAGCAAUACCGCGUGUGUGAAGAAGGCCUGAGGGUUGUAAAGCACUUUCAGCGAGGAGGAAGUUAAUAUAGUUAAUAGCUAUGUUGAUUGACGUUACUCGCAGAAGAAGCACCGGCUAACUCUG